CUUUUGUUGUAAUUAUAAAUGUGGAAAAGUAACAUUUAUAUGGCGAAAGUAAUUCAAUGGCAAAUAUAAACUGAUUCUAAAAGUGUAAAUAGGAAAAUUAUUAUCAAAAUUGUGCCAAUGAGAAAAUAUAGUUUCUUUAACAGUUGAUGAGACGAUUGUCGUCAAGUCCGAGUGAUGGAAAAGAAAAGGAAGGAAAAGUAAAGAAAAACGAUUCUUCAUCCUGUUUAUAUUCCCAAAAUUAGAAAGAAAAUUCUAUCUUUGUUACUAAACACUAAAAACUACUUUAAUAUCCUGGAUGUCCGGGAAAACCGCACUCAACACUGCCAGCAAAAGCACUCACGACGCUUCUCUGUCCUCUUUUAUCUGGAUUAGCAAAAGAAUUAUGACUUCAAUAAACUUUUCUAUUUUCCUUUGUGAUAGUGCUCUAAAAUGUCCAAUCACUUCUUGCAAAAAAAUGGGAAAAAGUAAGACGAAGAAAUGAACAAUGUCUCCGGCAGCAAAAAGGAUGAGGUACAAAUGAUUCUGAAAAACUUCUUUUCAGUUUGAAAAAUCACACCUUCCGUUGACUACCACUGGCGUGUUUUUCGAUGAAUUCCAAGACAGGACAACAGGAUGUAUACUGUUCAAAAGAAUGUAAUUAGAAUGAAAAAGACGAAAAAUUAAGUGUGAAGAAAGACUUGAACUUUUCCAAUAUCCAAUAUCUUCAAGAAAAGAAUCACUGGAGAAAAAAAUAUAAAUUUAUAUUUUACUAUCAAGUAUCAAUUAAAGAAAUUCUUAUCGAAAAGAGAAAUUAAGGCCGCAAUAAUACGAAAAUUAACAAUUUGAAGGAAAAUAACGAUAAUGGCUGAUAAUUGAUAAUAAUGAAGAUAUGGGAGAGUUACUAACAAGAGUGGAAAAAGUUGCGGCUUAUUUUAAAAAGAGAAAGAGAAAGAGAGAUGACUGGAAUCUGUUUAAGCUAAUGAGAUUCGGUGAUUUGCCUCUAAAUUCAAAUCCCAUGGUGUAAACUGAUAAAGUCCAACGUCAUCCCUUUCCAACAAUUCUCGAGGAGCGUCCCCUAUCCUGUUUCUCAUUCGUAAAGCGUUUGGUGAAAGGUGGUGUUGAAAAGCAUUCUAGUCGUUGGUUAAAAUCUAAUUUACACGCUUUUGACGUCAAUCACAUAUUAUAAAUGUAAGUAAAUUAAUGUAAUUUUUUUUAAGUAUAAAGA